UACGGGGGGGCAAGCGUUGUUCGGAAUUACUGGGCGUAAAGGGCUCGUAGGCGGCCAACUAAGUCGGACGUGAAAUCCCCAGGCUCAACCUGGGAACUGCGUCCGAUACUGGAUGGCUUGAAUUCGGGAGAGGGAUGCAGAAUUCCAGGUGUAGCGGUGAAAUGCGUAGAUAUCUGGAGGAAUACCGGUGGCGAAGGCGGCAUCCUGGACCGACAUUGACGCUGAUGAGCGAAAGCUAGGGGAGCAAACGGG
rnacentral:rRNA from 1 species